GGGAUCUUCGGACCUUUCGGUUAAGGGAGAGUCUAUGGGAUAUCAGCUUGUUGGUGGGGUAAUGGCCUACCAAGGCUUUGACGUCUAGGCGGAUUGAGAGAUUGACCGCCAACACUGGGACUGAGACACUGCCCAGACUUCUACGGAAGGCUGCAGUCGAGAAUCUUUCGCAAUGGACGAAAGUCUGACGAAGCGACGCCGCGUGUGUGAUGAAGGCUCUAGGGUUGUAAAGCACUUUCGCUUGGGAAUAAGAAAGAUUGGCUAAUAUCCAAUCGAUUUGAGCGUACCAGGUAAAGAAGCA
rnacentral:rRNA from 1 species